rnacentral:rRNA from 1 species
GAGACUCUGUGCGCGUGCAUAUCAAUAAGCGGAGGAAAAGAAACUAACAAGGAUUCCCUUAGUAACGGCGAGUGAAGCGGGAAGAGCUCAAAUUUGAAAUCUUCAAGGUUCUACCUUGACGAAUUGUAGUUUAUAGAAGUGUUUUCUGUUAGUAGAGUGGCAAAAGUUCUUUGGAAUAGGACAUCAUAGAGGGUGAGAAUCCCGUAUUUGGUCAUUCUCUUCCUAGCUUUGUGAUACACUUUCAACGAGUCGGAUUGUUUGGGAAUGCAGUCCAAAAUGGGUGGUAAAUUUCAUCUAAAGCUAAAUAUUGGCGAGAGACCGAUAGCGAACAAGUACCGUGAGGGAAAGAUGAAAAGAACUUUGAAAAGAGAGUUAAACAGUACGUGAAAUUGUCAAAAGGGAAGCGUUUGACACCAGUGUUGUUUUUCCGAAAAUCAAUUACGAAUGUUUUGUUUUUGAGAAGUUAUGACUUCAUCGGCUUGCUCCUUUCUUUACGAAACUUUCUUAAUGCACUUUUCGGUUAACAAGUCAACAUCAAUUUCUUUUGUUGUAAAAGGGUAUGAGGAAGGUGGCUUUCUUUUCGGAGAAAGUGUUUAUAGCCUUGUAGCCUCUGCAAUCGGAGAGAUUGAGGUCUGCAGCGUAGAUCCUUCGGGGUUAGAUACAGUUUGUGCUAAGUUAUAGCUUUUCAUAGACAACUUGUUGACUAUGUUAGUCUUGUAGCUUACUCGCUUAUGCUAUUUUACCUACGCUUAGGAUGUUGAACUCUAUCACACACAG